UGGGAUGUAGCUCAGUGGCAAAGCGCUUGCCUAGCAAGCACAACAUCCUGGGUUCAAUCCCCAGUACCAA
rnacentral:tRNA from 1 species